rnacentral:lncRNA from 1 species
GGACUCCUGCUGCUCUGGCUCCCAGAUACCAGAUGUGACAUCCAGAUGACCCAGUCUCCAUCCUCCCUGUCUGCAUCUGUAGGAGACAGAGUCACCAUCACUUGCCGGGCGAGUCAGGGCAUUAGCAAUUAUUUAGCCUGGUAUCAGCAGAAACCAGGGAAAGUUCCUAAGCUCCUGAUCUAUGCUGCAUCCGCUUUGCAAUCAGGGGGUCCCAUCUCGGUUCAGUGGCAGUGGAUCUGGGACAGAUUUCACUCUCACCAUCAGCAGCCUGCAGCCUGAAGAUGUUGCAACUUAUUACUGUCAAAAGUAUAACAGUGCCCCU